UGGCCUACCAAGGCGGCGACGGGUAGCCGGCCUGAGAGGGCGACCGGCCACACUGGGACUGAGACACGGCCCAGACUCCUACGGGAGGCAGCAGUGGGGAAUCUUGCACAAUGGGCGGAAGCCUGAUGCAGCGACGCCGCGUGAGGGAUGACGGCCUUCGGGUUGUAAACCUCUUUCAGCAGGGACGAAGCGUUUGUGACGGUACCUGCAGAAGAAGCGCCGGCCAACUACGUGCCAGCAGCCGCGGUAAGACGUAGGGCGCAAGCGUUGUCCGGAUUUAUUGGGCGUAAAGAGCUCGUAGGCGGCUUGUCGCGUCGACUGUGAAAACCCGUGGCUCAACUGCGGGCUUGCAGUCGAUACGGGCAGGCUAGAGUUCGGUAGGGGAGACUGGAAUUCCUGGUGUAGCGGUGAAAUGCGCAGAUAUCAGGAGGAACACCGGUGGCGAAGGCGGGUCUCUGGGCCGAUACUGACGCUGAGGAGCGAAAGCGUGGGGAGCGAACAGGAUUAGAUACCCUGGUAGUCCACGCUGUAAACGUUGGGCGCUAGGUGUGGGGGGCCUCU
rnacentral:rRNA from 1 species